rnacentral:rRNA from 1 species
CCUUUGACGUUAGCGGCGGACGGGUGAGUAACACGUUGGUAACCUACCUAUAAGACUGGGAUAACUUCGGGAAACCGGAGCUAAUACCGGAUAAUAUUUCGAACCGCAUGGUUCGAUAGUGAAAGAUGGUUUUGCUAUCACUUAUAGAUGGACCCGCGCCGUAUUAGCUAGUUGGUAAGGUAACGGCUUACCAAGGCGACGAUACGUAGCCGACCUGAGAGGGUGAUCGGCCACACUGGAACUGAGACACGGUCCAGACUCCUACGGGAGGCAGCAGAC